rnacentral:sRNA from 1 species
CCCUAGCCCUGAUAGAAGCGGCAUCCUUUUAUGGUCUCGUUUUUAAACGAGAUAAAAAAUAAAGCGGAUAGCAGGAUUAAGC